rnacentral:rRNA from 1 species
CCGGAUGCGGAUCUCGAAAGCCUGUCCCAGUUCGGACUGGAGUCUGCAACCCGACUCCACGAAGUUGGAUUCGCUAGUAAUCGCGCAUCAGCCAUGGCGCGGUGAAUACGUUCCCGGGCCUUGUACACACCGCCCGUCAAGCCAUGGAAGCCGGGGGUGCCUGAAGUGCGCUGCCGCAAGGAGCGCCCUAGGGUAAAACCGGUGACUGGGGCUAAGUCGUAACAAGGUACC